CCAAUAUAAAAGAGUCAAGUCAUCUUCCAGUACUACAACCUACAACCGUAAGUGCCAAACUUGACAUAUCAUCGUAAGAAAGAAGAGGUGAGAAAGACAUAAGACAGAAAGAAUGGCAAGCAAGAAUAUGUUAUUACUGAUCAUCGUGUUGUCUUCCAUGGUUUUAGUACACUGUGCAACCAAAUUACCAUGUGUUGAUUUCUGGAUGGAAUACUGCGGGAGGAAUGCUGGCGUAAAACGAUCACAGUCAGGUCCACAAGAAAGAACCGCCAAAUACUGGGAUAACUAUCUUCGCGGAGUUGUUUCAAAAGUGUUGAGAGAAAAACUUGCUGAAAUGGUUGCACCGCAAUAUACCAACACGUUCGACGAAAGCUCCCAAGAUGAGUUUGCAAACGAUUUCUAAGCAAUUAACUAUUUAAGGGUUUGCGUUAUUAAGUAUCAGUCAAUAACCUGGUUCAUCACAACUCCGAUUCAAUUUUAUAGUUACAAUAAUGUAUUGUUUAGUUGUAAUAACAUUCAUUUAAUUUUUUACUUUCGCGGCAUUAUGGAAUUGACCUUAUUCAUCUUUGAUGCAAUCCCAUUUAGUCGUUAUUAUAUGACCGUUUUUUUUUGAAGAAUUCAUAUUUUUUUCUUUUCUAUUUAACAUGUCUCGUCUGUAUAAGAGUAAUAGUUCGACAGAUUUGAAUUCUGUAUUACGACGUACGGUUGCCGUAAUUGUCUGAUAGUGACAACCAUUAGUAUCUGGAGUAGUAACAUUUUGAUUACCAUAUGAUUGAUCUAUUCAUCAAAUAUUUCUAUUUUGUCAAUGGAUCUUUUAUGGCGCCUGGAAUAUUAAAACUGUUAUUUUUCAAUAUACGACCACCGAUUAGAAUUUGAUUAGACAGCCACAUUUCUAAUAAAAUUAGAUGCGUUUUUCUGGUGU